rnacentral:rRNA from 2 species
UACGUAGGUGGCAAGCGUUGUCCGGAAUUAUUGGGCGUAAAGCGCGCGCAGGCGGUUCCUUAAGUCUGAUGUGAAAGCCCCCGGCUCAACCGGGGAGGGUCAUUGGAAACUGGGGAACUUGAGUGCAGAAGAGGAGAGCGGAAUUCCACGUGUAGCGGUGAAAUGCGUAGAGAUGUGGAGGAACACCAGUGGCGAAGGCGGCUCUCUGGUCUGUAACUGACGCUGAGGCGCGAAAGCGUGGGGAGCGAAC